GUCUCCAGUACAACAUUGAAAAGAAGUGGUGAGAGAGCUAACAUCCUUGCCUUGUUCCUGAGUUUAUAAAGAGUUUCUAGAUGCAAACACACACACACACAAAAGUGUGCUUCCAGAAGAUGCUGCUGGGAAGGCCACUGCAUCCCUAGGGAGCCAAAUCAAAGCAUUUUGUCCUAAUGUGUCCGGAAUUGGUGGGUUCUUGGUCUCACUGACUUCAAGAAUGAAGCCGUGGACCCUCGCGGAAAGAUAGAAUAGAAGCUACAAGAUCUGCAGUUAUGCUUCCUCUUACCCAAUUUACAGAUAAUAUAUGUUUGUGGCUGUGAUACACAGAAAAAUGGCAUCCAAGGAAAGUCCACCUCCUAAUCCUCAGAAGCUGUGAAUAUGUUACUUUAUAUGGCAAAAUGGACUCUGCAGAUGAGAUUAAGAGGGCCUAAUGCCUAGUUGUUGUACCUGCGACCACGGAGUCCCUCAGAUGCGAAACCUGUUGAUACUGACAGACACCCGCAUGUCUCUUGUCUCACCUUUGUCCAGUUUCUGCCUGCCUGACAAUCACUCUGCUGAUGGCAACCAAAUAUUGUCUUCUUCCUGGAGUCUCAGGGAAAAUGUGGCCUGGGGCAGACCCUAGUUCUUCAGAUGGAAGGUGAAACUUCAAUACAUCACCGCAACAGGAAACAAUCUCAAGAAUUUGUAUUUACACAUCCUGGACAAAGAAAGUGUAAAUAAGUCUGGAAUGCAGUCAUCAGUUCCCAGGUCCUGGAAGGCAGGAGUCUGGAGUCAGGCAGAAAGAGAAAGCAGGCACAGUGACAACCAGCAGUACACUUAAGGAUUAGAGUGCAGAUUUUUCUAAGCUCCCAGGCCAAUGCCUGAAUACCUUUAAAGAAAGCAAUAGGAAAACAGAAGCCCAGUCUGCUAGGUGGAAAAGAUGCUUUUAUGAUCCUGCCUCUGGCCCCGGGCUUGAGCCAUUGGGGUAGAACUGGAAACUGUGUCAAGGGUGACUGAUUCCUGCUUCUAGUAUGAAAAAAUUAAACUUGCAUUUGAAACGGAUGCUGAAGCAACAUAAAAUUUUAAGAAUUCACUCAAUGUUAUAUUAGUCAAAACUCAAGAGGAAUAAUAACAAGGUGACUUUAGAGAAAAAUAAGGACAGAACAAUAAUUCUAAUUGGAGAGAAGGAAGAGGAGAGAAGGAGACAAUGUGCCUAGAAGAAUGCAUAGACUUUAUUGAAUGCAUGUGUAUUAAAAGAAUAGAAGAAAAGAAAAGGAGAAAGAAAGGCAAUAGAAGAAACGAGUAAAGAAGAGAAGAUUGAAAGGCACAAGCUAAAGAUAAGAAGAAAGAGUGCUAAAGAGAUUUAAAAUCUCUGUUCAUACUUUUUUCCUGGAAUAGAGUUUGUGCUCUUCAUCCUGUUCUUUUUUCCUUGUCACAAGUGGGUUCAAUCAUGGAGCACCCAUCCUAUACACAGCUCUAUGGCAGAGACAGGUGAUCAAAGUCUCUCUCUCACCACUUCAUCCAAAGAACUCUAAACUAGGAUGUCAAAAACACACUGACAUUGUCAAAUUUAGACUUGUAUGUUAUCUCAGGCAGCCAUUGCUUCUGCUGACAUCUUUGUACUUAUGUUAAAAAAUUAAAUUGAUAUGUCUAUUUUAGGAAUUCCAUUGAAUCUCAGAAACAGCUUGUUCUAUGAGCUUUACUUAAUAUGGGUUGGUUAGAAGAAAGGAGAUGCAUCCCUUAAAGACUAAAUAUUCCUUUUAAUGUUCCAGUAUUCUUUGUACUUAAAGAGAUACAGAGCUAAUGCCUGAAACAAAACAGAAAUUUGAUUAUAUCUACGUACAUCAUCUUUUGAGAGUUUCAUUCUCAGAGGAGGCUAUCAGUAUAUUAUGGUUGAGAUGUUUUGAAACUUAAAGUGAACUAUUUAACAACUACAAUUUUUAAAAUGUAAAAAUACAAGCAUUUAAAUAUGUAAAAACAGUUUAAUCAUUUGUGUGACAAAUACUUUAUGUAUUUCAUACAGGUUCACCUUAUUAUUAACCGAAGUAACCCUUUUUCCAAGUACAUAAACAUGAUAUAGUUUAUAACAAUUGGUUUUUCACAUAAACUAAUUAUAAUGAUGGGCAUUAUAAAAUAUUAUUCAAUUUUCUUAAAGAUCAUUAAAUAUUAACAUAGUAAAUACAAUUUACCUUUAUUUUGAAAGUUACCAUCAUAUAAAAAUAGGCAAGUACUUGUUUAAUUUUACCAAAUAAUAGUUAUUGAUACAUAUUUAUGUCAUAUACAAUUCUAAGGUAAACCUAAGAAUUUAAUCUAAGACCAUUAGAUUUAAAGUUAUGUUUUGUGUAUUUCUGAAGCAAAAUACAAAAUUAUUACACUGGAUUUUAUAAGACAGAUUUUAUGAAUUUAUUGAUUAUUUUAAAAAGAAAACAUUACCUAAAACUUUAGUGUUGAACAUCUUUAUGAUAAUCAGAUCAAAGACUAAAGGUUAAAAAAAUUCAUAGUUCAAGGAAGGCAUUCAACUUUUUAUUUUCUAAUUAGAGCAUUCCAGAUUAUAUGGAUAUAUUUUAAAAAUCUAUGAUAGUGAACCAUGAUGGCUUUCUGAUUAAUUAUUAUUCUGUGAUUAUCUCACAUUUCUAAGUAUGUAUGGGAUGAAAAAAAGGCAAGUAUAAGUAAUUUUCUUUAAAAGAAGUAGGAGUUCUUAGCAAAGCUAGUGGACAGACAAAAACAAACACAAAUGAAAACCAUGGAAACAAUCCCUAGUUUCACCUUCUCUCCUUCUUUCACCAUCAAAAGGCAGAUAGAUCCAGCUAGUGUUUUCCUUCCAAGCAUUUAAUUUUUUUCCCAAAGUCCAGGUUAUAAGGCCAUUUUCAGAUAUAACUAAGUUAUAUUUUAGUCUGUUAAGAAAAGGGAGAGGUGGGAGAUAAAAUGAAAGAAAAUAUAUUUCUUAAUUCUCUCCCUCUUUGUUGUCUCUUGUUUUUUUGUUUUGUUUUGUUUUGUUUUUGUUUUUUUAAGACAAAGUCUCACUCUAUUGCCAAGGCUGGCCUCAAGCUCCUGGGCUCAAGUGAUCUUCCCACCUUAGCCUUCCAAUUAGCUGGCACUACAGGCACACAUCACACCAGAAGGCCCAGCUUAACUUUCUCUUUGUAAAUUAUGAUUAUUCAUAAACUGAGAAACAAAAGAUUUUCUGGAAUGUUCUACUGCAUUCAGAUAAUGAUUUUUUUGUUUUUUAUUAUUUAUACAUAUAAAGUGCCUAUGAAUCAUUUGACUAAAAUAUUUAACUAAAGAAUACAAGGUGACAAGAUAUUAUCUCUUUUCAGAAACACUUUGAAUUAAAAUGUUAAUCACUUUGGAAAUCUAGGAUAGGAAAUUAACAUUCAUGGAUAUCCUUUUUUGCUCAUUGUCACAAUACAAGAAAAAAAUAUCUAUAUUGCAAUGCUCCAAAUGUUUAACCAAGAAUAGAUUUAAGACAUUCUUGAUGUUCAGAAUAAAUACAAGUAAUGAAGUGACAGUUGCCAAUUCAGAAACAUCAAGAUUUCAUCCAAUUUUUGAGUCUGUCCUUGUUUUACAAAUGUAACAUUUUAAGGAGCACUGUCUACUGGAAGAAAAGCUUCUCAGAGUAAUGAAAUAAUUUGUUGUGAGUCUUCUUAUGCUUAACAGUGUUGCAGGUUUUCACUAUAUAUUACAGGUCUUUGUAAUAGCAUUUUACUAAAAAAAGCAACUUUUAAAAUCUGUUAUCCUAUGGAUCCUCACAAAAUUCCCAAAACAACUUGCCAGGUAUUGUGACUUCUAUAGUGUAGUUGAGAGAGUUUACCCUGAGAAAGGCUAAACUACUUGUCAAAGGUCAGAUUGAAUUUUUUUUAAUUUUAUUUUUAAGUUCCAGGGUACAUGUGCAGGAUGUGCAGGUUUGUUAGAUAGGUAAAUGUGUGCCUGGUUGGUUUGCUGCACCUGUCAACCCAUCACCUAGAUAUUAAGCCCCACAUGUAUUAGCUGUUUUUCCUGAUGCUCUCCCUGUGUCAAUGUAUUCUCAUUGUCCAGUUCCCACUCAUAAGUGAGAAAAUGCUGGUUUUCUGUUUCUGCAUUAGUUUGCUGAGAAUAAUGGCUUCCAGUUCUAUCUAUGUCUCUGCAAAGGACAUGAUCUCAUUCCUUUUUAUGACUACAUAGUAUUCCAUGGUGUAUACGUUCCACAUUUUAUUUAUCUAGUCUAUCAUCGAUGGGCCUUUGGGUUGAUUGAAUCCUAAUUCUAGAUGUUUUUAUUCUUUGCACCUUUAGGUUAGUACUCUUUUUAAAAAAUUUAAUUCACUAAGCAAUGUUAAAUACAUAUUUAAUGAAAAUUUUUAUGCAAACAAUAAUUCAUCGGAUUAUGGGUUUUGAACAAUUAUAUCUGAAACAAUAUAAAAUGUAUAUUAUGUGUUUUUAUUUUAACUUAUAGGAUAUACUUUUAAGUGAUGUAGAAGCAAUUAAUUCAAGACCCCACAUUACUUUUGAUAGAGGUGAUAUAGAAAGCUUUAACUGAAAAAGUUAACAUACUUUUUCACUUGCUGAACUUAGUACUAAGGGGAGACUUAGGUUUUUAAGGCAUCCUGAUUAAUUUCUUAUUAAAUGCUAUUGCAUCUUAUGAUUGAGAUGUAUAUCAGUACACCUUAACUUCAAGAUUUUUUGAGGAGUUGCAUGAGUUUUGAAGAUAGUGAAUUAUUAUAUGUAAGAAGCUCAUACUGAUGUUACUACAAUUCCUCUCUUUCAACCAAAUCAUGUUCUCAGGUCAGCAAUUCUUGUAGACCUAGCCCAAUAAAAGCAUAAUGUUUUCUCAAAAAAUAAAUCAGUAUACACACAAGGCAUACGAUGCCAGUAACAUUAUUUUUAUUAUCUUUAUAAUUAAUAGCUCCCGAAACAUAUAGCAGUUUAAUUAAGUUUACAGUGCUUUUGCUUCUUUAAUCCAGUAAAUAGAAUAGAAUUGCUAUUUUCCAAUGGUUUGCUAUUCUACUAGCUUGAUGAUUUACUGCAUAUGUAGGCAGAAUGAGCAAACAAAUUAACUUCUAUCCUCAAGUGAGAGGACUAAAAAUUAAUUAGACCAGUUUCAUAAAGCAACAAGGUGAUUCUAGGCUGUCUUUCCAUGCACAGACUUCGAUGAUAUAAAAGUAAAUUCCUAUGUUUUAGAAAGAAAUAUGGAACCAGAUUUAUUUGUUUUAUUCAAUAUGUUCUCUUACUGUUUGUGAUAAAUUGUCCAAUUAUACUAUCCAAUCUCAAGGGGGAAAUUAGGCAAGAUUUAUAUUUUAUAUUAUUUUAAAUUCUGGUGAUUCCUACGGGUAAAUAUGCAACAGCUUGAGUGCAAACUGUAGGCUAUAUUCAAUGUACUUUUUUUUUUUUUUUUUUUUUUUGAGGCGGAGUCUGGCUCUGUCGUCCAGGCUGGAGUGGCGCAAUCUUGGCUCACUGCAAGCUCCACCUCCCGGGUUCACGCCAUUCUCCUGCCUCAGCCUCCCAAGUUGCUUGGACUACAGGUGCCCACCACCACACCUGGCUAAUUUUUUGUAUUUUUAGUAGAGACAGGGUUUCACCGUGUUAACCAGGAUGGUCUCAAUCUCCUGACCUCGUGAUCCACCCGCCUUGGCCUCCCAAAGUGCUGUGAUUACAGGCGUGAGCCACCGCGCCCGGCCUAUUCAGUGUACUUUUAAUGAAUUUUGGGGUUGAUGAAAAACAAUAAAAUAAACUGUUGCAAGACCAUUUGUGAGCUUUGUACUUAAACUGGUCAGUUUAAAGAUUUUUAUGAUCCUCCGAUUUUUUUAAAGUAGUUGUGACUCUUGGCUUUAAUAUAAAUAAUUACACAGAAAUUAUAUUUCAUCAUUUGAUUAUUAUUUAUGUUUUAAAUAAAAGGUUAGGUUAAUCUUACUUUCAUUCCCCCAAAACUUUAUUAAAGAAAUUUUCUUUAACUGCACCAGGUUAGAAUGCAUCAUUGUCCUAUCAGAGAUCAUAACUGUUAAUGGAUUUAGAGUUCGUUGGUGCUCUGUAGAAAUAUCAUGCUAAUACAUUUAAUCCAUUUGGUGAUACCUGAAGACACAAUGAUGAAAAAAACAAAAACAAUGCUUUUUAAUAAGCAUCCUAAAAUCAGU
rnacentral:lncRNA from 10 species